CUGGCUGGGCCCUCGCUGUCUCUCAGCGAGCAUCUCUUUGAGCGGCUUACUCUCAAACAUGAUUAGGAGGCCUUGCCUUCC
ensembl:miRNA